UACAGAGGGUGCAAGCGUUGUUCGGAAUUAUUGGGCGUGAAGCGCGUGUAGGCGGCUUUGCAAGUCGGGUGUGAAAGCCCUCAGCUCAACUGAGGAAGUGCGCCCGAAACUGCAGAGCUUGAGUACCGGAGAGGAUGGUGGAAUUCCCCAAGUAGAGGUGAAAUUCGUAGAUAUGGGGAGGAACACCGGUGGCGAAGGCGACCAUCUGGACGGAUACUGACGCUGAGACGCGAAAGCGUGGGUAGCAAACAGG
rnacentral:rRNA from 1 species